rnacentral:sRNA from 2 species
GUUCGAUUCGAGCGUAGCGAGAAAGCGUUGCCGCAGGCAACGACCCGAAGGGCGAAGCGCGAAGCGCUGAGUAAUCCUUCCCCCACCACCA